ACAAUGAAGAGUUUGAUCCUGGCUCAGGAUGAACGCUAGCGGCAGGCUUAACACAUGCAAGUCGAGGGGCAGCGGGUUGUAGCAAUACAAUGCCGGCGACCGGCGAAAGGGUGAGUAACGCGUGAGCAACAUGCCCGUAAGAGGGGGAUAGUGGGUGGAAACGCCCCGUAAUACCCCGUAACAACAGAGGCCGCAUGACCUUUGUUUAAUAGAUUUAUCGCUUACGGAUUGGCUCGCGUGCCAUUAGCUAGUUGGCGGGGUAACGGCCCACCAAGGCGACGAUGGCUAGGGGUUCUGAGAGGAAGGUCCCCCACAUUGGAACUGAGAACGGUCCAAACUCCUACGGGAGGCAGCAGUGAGGAAUAUUGGUCAAUGGCCGAGAGGCUGAACCAGCCAUGCCGCGUGCGGGAGGACGGCCCUAUGGGUUGUAAACCGCUUUUGUUGGGGAGCAAUAAGUCCCACGUGUGGGAUGAUGAGAGUACCCAGCGAAUAAGCAUCGGCUAACUCCG
rnacentral:rRNA from 1 species